AUUGAACGCUGGCGGCAUGCUUUACACAUGCAAGUCGAACGGUAACAGGCCGCAAGGUGCUGACGAGUGGCGAACGGGUGAGUAAUGCAUCGGAACGUGCCCAGUCGUGGGGGAUAACGCAGCGAAAGCUGUGCUAAUACCGCAUACGAUCUAUGGAUGAAAGCGGGGGACAGUAAGGCCUCGCGCGAUUGGAGCGGCCGAUGUCAGAUUAGGUAGUUGGUGGGGUAAAGGCCCACCAAGCCAACGAUCUGUAGCUGGUCUGAGAGGACGACCAGCCACACUGGGACUGAGACACGGCCCAGACUCCUACGGGAGUCAGCAGUGGGGAAUUUUGGACAAUGGGCGCAAGCCUGAUCCAGCAAUGCCGCGUGCAGGAAGAAGGCCUUCGGGUUGUAAACUGCUUUCGGACAGAAAGAAAUCGCAUCGGCUAAUACUCGAUGUGGAUGACGGUACUGUCAUAAGAAGCACCGGCUAACUACGUGCCAGCCGCCGCAGUAACAC
rnacentral:rRNA from 1 species